rnacentral:lncRNA from 1 species
AGGAAUGGCCCUGUGGACCUCUGUGAUGGGACAUCUGGUGGAAUCUCACAGGCAGUUCUGUGGCAAAGAUGGAUGAAAGCUAAGGACUCAUGAGGAAGCUGGAUAACUGAACAAAGCCAUGUACAAGAAUGGGAAGCCAGAAAAUGGGAUGGUGGAGUUUGAAUCAGGUGGACAGUUCUAAAAGUACAAAUGAUUUCGUAUAAAGGUACCACAUGUGGGUCCCUUUAACUGAAGGCAUGGCAAGCUCCACACAAGGUCCUUCAUUUCUGAAUUUCAAGGUAAGUCAUCUUGUUUUUCUAGAUUGUAAUAUGGCUUGUAACCAGUGAUGUGAUGAUUCUGCCAAAUGAUACAAAGUGAUAUCACCUUUACAACCGUUCCAUUUUAUUUCUGAGGUUACUCUGGUAACAUGUUAGCUUGAACCAUUCUAAGCCAGAUGAGUAAGUUUUUGUUUUCUUAGGGCUCCUCUGACAAGUGGACAGUGCAGUGGGUGCACCUUUUCCAGAGGUGACUGGAUGGAUGCUUGAACAGAAGAUUUGCCAAAUAGACAUUGUGCUGUCAAGAAUUUUACCAUUAAAAGUGCAUUAUUGUAGCAUCUGAA